CGAGCCUGCGGCGCUGCCCGCUGGGGCCUGCAGGGGUCGCCCGCGGACCUGACCUUGCGGGGGACGGGACCGGGGCGGGGCCUGGAAGUCGGCCCGACCAAUAAACGCGGCGGCGCGCGGCCGCCCCAGACUGGGCCUUCGGGGUUCCGGCGACCUUAUCUGCUAUCUUCUGUGCUCUCUCGGCACGUCCCUCGACCCGCGCCCGCGAUGCUGCCGCUGCGCUGCGGCCCCCGCCUCCUCGGCCCGCUCUCUGCCGUGCGGCCCGCGCCGCUGCGCCUCCCCGCCGCCCGAGCCUGCAGCGGCGGCUCCCGCGACCCGUCCUCUUCCUCCUCCGGGAACCCGCUCGUGUACCUGGACGUGGGCGCCGACGGGCAGCCGCUCGGCCGCGUGGUGCUGGAGCUGAAGGCAGAUGUCGUGCCAAAGACCGCAGAAAACUUCAGAGCACUGUGUACUGGUGAGAAGGGCUUUGGCUACAAAGGCUCAACCUUCCACAGGGUGAUUCCGUCCUUCAUGUGCCAGGCAGGCGACUUCACAAACCACAACGGCACCGGUGGGAAGUCCAUCUAUGGGAGCCGCUUUCCUGAUGAGAACUUCACACUGAAGCACGUGGGCCCGGGCGUCCUGUCCAUGGCGAAUGCAGGCCCUAACACCAAUGGCUCCCAGUUCUUCAUUUGCACGAUAAAGACAGACUGGCUGGAUGGCAAACAUGUUGUGUUUGGCCAUGUCAAGGAGGGCAUGGAGGUUGUGAAGAAAAUCGAAUCUUUUGGCUCCAAGAGUGGGAAGACGUCCAAGAAGAUUGUCAUCACAGACUGUGGCCAGCUGAGCUAACCCGUGACCAGACGUGCGAGGGUGGCAGUGGCUGUGCGGAUGUGUUGACUCAUCCAGGUCCCCAUGGCCGCGGCCUUUCCUCCUGGCCACUGUGAAUCCCGUUGGCGAUCUGUGCCUAGUCACUGAAUUCCUGUUGAAAACGCCUGCACGUGUGCCAUGUGCUCUGGGAGAAUGUAACUGUGUGUUUACUGGAGCUCUGAUUUUAAUAAAUUAAGUCUACUGACUAUGUGAAACAUCUCUGGAACACUUAUUUGUGUUCACUUUAAAUGGGAAAAUAAAUCCUAUUUUCUAUAAAAGACUGUCUGGUGUCCAUGGUUUUAGGACAAAGUAUCUGUAACUUAAGUACAUGGAACCAACCUUUUUUGGAGUUACCAUGUAUGAUUUUUAUGCGAAAGGUUUUUAUGUGAACUUUCUCAUUUAAUCGCCCCAGCAACUUAUGAGGUACCGUUAUUGUCAUCCCUGCCUUACAGAUGAGGAAACUGAGGCUCAGAUAAACUGUCACUAUCUUACCGUCUACAGCCUGCACUCUAUACUGGCUGCAUCCUGAAUCCCAGCUCCACCUGGAUAGCAGAGACCUAGGAAGCUGAAUCUGUUCAGUAGCAAUAAUGUCUAUCUUGCCACCUAACAGGCUGGUGAGGAUUGUGUGUGAUGCAUGGUGUGUAGCAUGGUGCCUGGCACAUCAUCUUAAGCACUCUGGAAUGACAAGGACGAUGACAAAACAUUUUCCACGUGUCGAGGUCUUAGGCAAGAGGAGGAAUACCUAAAUAAGGAGCGGUGAUCCAUCUAUGGUUAGGAGUGGACUUUUCUAUCCUUGAAUUCUAUCCUGAAUUGACAGGGAGGGUAGAACUGGGGGUUGGAGGUGAUUUAGCACAUCCUUAAAGACCUAGGGCCACGUGGGCCGGUGCAGGGAAUUGGGUGGUCAGGUGGACAGUUAAUGCUUUUGGGCUUAGGUUAGGGUACUUCGUAGAAUUAUCUCACAUUGGGGUUCCCUGAGUUAGGUUAUGUGGGUCACAGGUCAGUGUAGUUAUUCUGAGGUCAUGGUGGCCAGGGGUGGGUCAUUUGGAGUCAUGAGGUUCCUUGAGUCAGUUUCUGUAGGGUCACAGGUCAGCAGUCAUUCUGAGGUCAUGGUGGAUGGGGCUGCCAUAAGAGUUUCCAUGAAGGCAGAGUUAAUCUGCAUAGAUAAGGAGCUCAGCUAGCGUAGCAGUAUCCAAACAGUUCUCAGGAGCCCUAGGAGUCUUAGGGGUCCCUAGAGGAGAACAAAUGGAAGAUAAGGGUGAUGGGCCUCUGAGUCCCGUCUUCAAUCAGAAAAACACUCCAUUUUUUCAUUGCUCAUCCAGGCCAUUUUAUAGAUGGAUAAAACUGAGGCAACAAGUGGGGAUGUGUUGCUCAAGGUGACCCUGUCAGUUGGUGGAGUAGCUAGAGCCCAGGGCCCCUGC